rnacentral:tRNA from 1 species
UCCCAUAUUGUCUAGUGGUUAGGAAACCUGGCUCUCACCCAGGAGGCCCGGGUUCAAUUCCCGGUAUGGGAA